rnacentral:misc_RNA from 1 species
AAGUCGUAACAAGGUUUCCGUAGGUGAACCUGCGGAAGGAUCAUUAAUGAAAUGCAAGGACGCUCUUUUUAGAGGUCCGACCCAAAUCAUUUUCUCACACUGUGCACACUACUACUUUUUACACCCAUUUUUAACACUAUGAGUAAAAGAAUGUAAACAGUCUCUUAUUUGAGCAUAAAAUUAAAACAAAACUUUCAGCAACGGAUCUCUUGGCUCUCC